rnacentral:rRNA from 1 species
UACCAGCACCCCGAGUGGUCGGGACGAUUAUUGGGCCUAAAGCAUCCGUGGCCGGUCCUACAAGUCUUCCGUUAAAUCCACCUGCUUAACAGAUGGGCUGCGGAAGAUACUAUAGGGCUAGGAGGCGGGAGAGGCAAGCGGUACUCAGUGGGUAGGGGUAAAAUCCUCUGAUCCAUUGAAGACCACCAGUGGCGAAGGCGGCUUGCCAGAACGCGCUCGACGGUGAGGGAUGAAAGCUGGGGGAGCAAACAGG